ensembl:lncRNA
CCAAACUGAAGCCAGGACAGGCUCUAAGGGGCGGGCUAGGCCUGAGAAAAGCUGAGGCUCUGGGAAUUCCUGCAGGCAGUGUAGCUCCACCAAUCAAAAAAAUCCCCAUAGUCCCCUGCCUGCGCCAGACCUGAGCCAAUCUGGAUAGGGAUGAGAGGUUUAAAAGUCCCGCGUGCGCGUGCGGUUUAACCAAUCAGCUAUGCUGUUACAGAAACAAAGAACUGUCUGUAUAAAAGUAUAUGUGAUUCAGAGCUCGGGGCCUUUGUCUGAUUCCACUGUGCUGGAUGAAACAUGGGUCCUGGCUCAAGCUAGUAAUAAAUCCCUUUAUGCUUUUGCAUUGCAGUGGACGUCUUAUUCUCUCAGUUUUGGGGACUUGGACUCUGGGCAUAACAAUAGAUUCUGAUUAUACUGGGGAAAUUAAGUUUUAAUCUUGCCACCUACUAAAACUGUGCAAAUUAAUAAAGGUCAAAGAAUAGCACAGCUUUUGCUUUUUACCUUAUUAUCAGAUAGAAAAACCUUGACUUCUCAAGCUAGGGGCCCCAGAAGAUUUGGAUCUAGUGAUCUAGCUUUCGGGGUGCAGGAAAUUACCACUUCUAGGCCUUUGAAAGAUCUUUUAACUCAAGGAAAUAAAAUGUCACGGCUGCUACACACAGGAGCAGAUGUUUCUUACAUUUCAGGAAAAGACUGGCCCAGCUCCUGGCCCACUCAUACUACUGAAAACGAGUUGGUGGGAUUAGGAAGAGCCCCUGCAGUAGGAUCCUUCAGCACAGCACUCAGAAACUCACGACUGAACUACAUCUGGCUGUUUUAAGAAAUAGAAAAGGGGGAGAUGCUGGGAGCCAGCAUGAGGAGUCCCACCCAUGGCAAAGGUCAUGAGGUUAAGGGGCCCAACAGGCAAAGGUGAGUCGGGCCUUAAGGGAGCCUCGCUGGAUCUGCUCAUGCAUCUGCCCCAAAACCAGAGUCUGCCUGCCUUAUGGCAUUGUGCUUUUUGCCUAAUCUUCUGACAUUAUACAGGGGGCUAUCCCCCACUACCUCUCUCUGAAAAGGAGUUAACUUAGGACUCCAGUUAAUAAAUCUCCUGGGUGUGACAAGGGUGUUUCAGUCCAAAAACCUCUCUGCUGGCAGACUAGCUUGUGUGACAGGAUUAUCCACAUUCUAGGUAGAUGAUUGUUUACAACCUCUCAACCAUAAAUAGCACAGAGAGUUUGGAGUAUUUUGAAAGUCUUAAUUAGCAUAGAGCUUUUCUCAUUUUGAGUCAAUGACUGCCAUCAGGCCUCCAUACCCCUAAGCACCUGGGAGUAUGUUUUAAGUUAAUGAAUUUUCUCUUUGUUAUAAAUCACUUUACUCCUCCUUUUUUUGUUAUAAACCGUGUAUCCUUGCAAUGUAAGAAUGUAAUGUUAUCACUAUCUUAAGACAAAGUGGAUCUUAAGGGAAAAAUAAGUUUUCUGAUUGACUAACCUUUAUCAAUAGAAAGUAAUAAUAAAAUGUUAGUCGGUCUAGAUAUUGUAAACAAACGUAAGACCCUUGUAAGAAUAAAGAUAUGCAAAGAACACUGUCUUUAGAUAAGGGUCAGAGCAGCUGUUUACAUUUAUCUUUAUGUAUAACUAAAGGUAUAAAAGUGAAUCUGGAAAAUAAACGGAUCAGUUCCUGGAAAGACUGGUCUCCUCAUGUUGUUCUUUCUCUCCCCUUCUGGCUGAAUUCCCAUCUGGAGCGUGGAUGCCUGCCAGGCCUACUAAUUUUGUGGGGGCUUCUAAGAUCUGACCGGGGAGGCCUUUGUGUCUCCUCUCCUUCGGGAGAACAGGAAGACGCCUGUGGCCUAGGGAAGGAAUAUGGCUGAAAUUACGGGUCCCAGCUGCUCUGAGAUCCCCGCUCUGCUGAGAUGUGUGGACCUGACCUGCCAGCACAGUGAGUGAGAUGCUGUGUUGAUUGUUCUUGCAUUCUUCCAUGACCACCUGGGAGACACCAGUCUGUUCAUCAGUUUCAACGUGGACACAAAACUGGAGGACCAAGUUGAGGGCCAAAUCAACAAUCUCACCCAACACAGGCCUGCAGGGAUAUAGAUUCACAGUUAACAGAGAUGGAGAAGUCUCUUCACAUUGCUCACUUUGGUCUCUCUCUUAUGUAGACAUUAUAUGGGAUCUCUAUGAACAAGGACAGGGAAGCUUGGUGUACUGAAGCCCGUGGGGUCGCAAAGAGUCAGACAGGACUUAGUGACUGAACAACACAUGGACAAUGUGUAUUUUUUGUGGAAUCUAUAUUCUUGCAUUAGGAGUUUCUUCUCCUGGCCACAAGGGUUUGGCUCGUGAAAUUUCUAUAGUGUAUUACACCAAUGAUUAAAAUAAAAAUAAGAUCUAACAUUUUUUAAGAAAAAUGCAUCAUUAGGUAUUUACAGAAAGCAUUUGGAUUAAUCCAUUUAAUCUUGACAGCAAUACCAUGAGAAAAAAAAGCACUAUUAUCUCUGUUUUUAGAAUGAGGAAACGUGGUAUAGAGAAGUUCAGUCACUAUCUCAAGAUCUUAUAACUAAUGAAUGAUGAAGUUAUAGUGCACUUUAAUUUAUAAAGACUCUUCUACACAUCCUCAUUUUCCUAUCUCUUUGUAUCUUUAAAGUAAUUAAAAUGCUUAGAAAUUGUAUUUUCCACAUAAUUUUCACAUGUUCUUUGUUACAUACUGUACACUGCUAUAUGGCCCAUACUGUUCA